GUCACCCAAGUUUCAGGUGGAUAGAAACUUGGAAUCAUACAAGUUGUAUAGUACAAUGAAUGAGAAUUUCUACCUUUGGAAAAUUAAGACAAAUUCCUUGUUCACAUUUAUAUGUGAGUCAAGUGAAGGACUAAGGGAUCAAGUACAAAUUUUUGUGCACUGGUCAAGUCCACCACAAAAUAUCGAUAAGAAUAUUCCUCAUGCUUUACUAAAGUUUAGUAAAUAUGGUUAUACUUACCAGUUUAAGUAUAAUUCUAAAACAUUGGAAAAGUUUCGAUGUAUGGCAGAACGAAUGAGAAGAAUCAAAUUAGGCAGAAGGAUAAAAGUUUCUCAAAUCUGAAAAAAUGGGAGAGUACUAUAGUAUCAUGUUUUGUGAUCAUCUUAAUGAUUAAAGAACCAUAUCACAAUUGGUCUUCUAAGGAAAUCUUAGUGCAUUCUUAUGGCUAAGAAGAGGAGUUAUGAAUUGAUGAAAUGGUUAAAUCAAGAAGAUGAGUCAUACUUCGUUCCAAAACAAAUUCUAAGAGUCAUACUCCAAGAUUGUAACUUGAGUGACAUAUCUUAAAGAAAGGUCUAUAACACUUGUCAAAUGUAAGAGUAAAAAUGUCCUACUCUUGUACAUUUGAAAUUGGUAAGUUGUGAUGUUUUGGAUAAAACAAAGACCAACUAAGGCCAAUUGUGUGAAGUGUUUGUCUUGAUAUAGAAACCGCACUAUCUCUUGAAUUUUUGGCAAGGGAGUCUUAUAUGCCAAGCAGAAAGUGGGAGUCUUAAAUAUCCUGAAAGAAUUUCAAGAUCUAAUCAAGAAUAAAAACCUGUAGUUUGACACUAGCACACGACGUCAGGUUUAUAACCUAUCGUGUUCACAUUUUUCUAUUUUUGUGCCCAUUCCAGUUAAAGUUGGCUUUGCAUAUGAGUUCUGAGAGUUCUCAAUUGGUUGCAUAAUAACUUGGAAGCAAUGGCAGGCCCUUCAGCUGCCAGGUGGCAAGAAGUUAAGACCGCACAAGUUCAAUCCAUAAGAGUUUGGAUUUGUCACUAACCUUGUCUUGUGAUUAUGGUUUUGACAAAUUCACAUGGAUAGAAACACAUACACCAUAAAAUCUAAGUGUCAUAAGGUUUCUCUCUAAUUCAUGAACAUGAUGGUGAGGAAACGUUUCCACUAAGUAGAUCUUAAGUAGAUAACUGUUGUGAUAUUUGCAUUCUCAAAGUCGUUAGUGAAGUGUGUGUGGUUAACCGACACACUAACAUGGACUUGUAUGAAAUGGAAAAGGUCUAAACAAUUGAGACUAUGAUUACGACAUCCCUUUUCAUAGUUCUACAAAAUUGUUUAGACACACAUGUGAGUUAUCUAAGGAAAGGUGUGUGAUUUUGAUAAAGUCUUAUCAAAACAUCUCAUAUCGGAAAUCUGAACAUUGGUAAGAAAGUUAAUAAAGUAUUGAUUCUAGAAGUUNUCUAGAAGUUCAGCUGAUUUCUGAGUACAUGUCAAAGCUAGUGGGAGCAUAAGUGUAAUGCUAAUAAUCAUCAUGUUAGUGAGAGCAUGAUAAUUAUGAUAAGUGUUGCAAGUUAGCAAUGUUAAUUACAGAAAACAAAAGGUUUCGAUUAGGAAAAAAUUGUUUUGCUAUAAUUAAGGGAGAGGAAAUUAUACUUCAUCUUAAAUGUAUAAGCUUAGAUCGUGUGAUUUUAAUCAAAUUUAGUCAAGGAUAUAUAUGAAUUUUGUGUUGGAAUGACUCAACAUAAGGAAAUUGGGUACGUUAUUUGCAUUCUAAAAUUCGAUUAUGAUUACGACAUCCCUUUUCAUAAUUUGAAUUAUGAGAACUUGGCAAAUAGAAAUAUUGUAGCAAAAUGACUGGUCUAGUAUCAUGUCUUUAUGUGAGACUGUUAGGUCCAGUAUUGUGUUGCGUCUAUUGGGCUCGUUAGCUAGUCCAUGUUUAUCUCCGGUAUGGGCCUGUCCAUCCGUGAGUUUUGUAGGGUUUAUUAUAAAUAGAUGCUUGCAUGCAUCCUAGAAGUGGGGAUUAAGAAACGAUUAGAAAAGUAUUAUUCAGCAUAUUCAUCGUUCUUAUUUUUUGUAACCCUAGAGUCCUCUACAGCGGAAGUUCUUAGUCGAGCUCUGCUGAGGAUCGAGUAAUGUAAUCAUUCGACACAUUCUGAUUCAUACUUGUGUUUCGUUUUUACUAUCUUUACGAUCAUUACUUACCUGUUACAAAGAUCUAAUCGAUCAAAGAGUUAUUUUUUAACUCAUCAAUUGGUAUCAGAGCAGGAGGAUGUGUAAUUCAUACACAUUUUUUCUGUGAAAGAGUUUGCGAUAAGGGUUAUUCCGCAUUAACUAAUAUUUAUUGAGCCGUCAUUCCAUAAUUGACGUAACUCAGCAUUUAUUUGUUUUGCCCUAAUAUUACAUAUUACAAGUCUGAUCUAUCAAACAGGUUAAACGAUCAAGCAUGGAAGAGUCACAAUCUAAUCCCAUCAACAUCUCAAAUAGCAUUGUAUCAACGACGAAGAUUCCUAUUCUUUACACACAGGAUUACGAAGUCUGAGCGCAUCAUUUUGAAGAUUAUGUCAUUGGAUCUAAAGACAAUGGAUACCUUAUUUGGGAAGCAAUCGUAUCUGGACCAUUUGCUCACUCAGGAACAUCAAAAAUCAUUAAAACUCAGAAAGAGUAUAAUGAUCUAUUAAAGGACGUAAAGGAUGUUGCUCAAGACGAAAAGGAAAAGUUUCAGUGCAACAUUAAAGCAUUGAGACUGAUUCAAUUCGCUCUUCAUUCAGAUACAUUCAGGCUGGUGAGUUUAUGCAGCACCGCUAAAGAAAUCUGGGAUAGGCUGCGAGAGCUAUAUUCCACAGAUGAAGAUUUGGAGCAUUCUAUUCAGACCUUGCUUUUAUCCGAGUUCGGUGAAUUUAAACAGAAUUCUGAUGAAACUGUUACUCAGACGUUUGAUCACUUCAAUCAUCUUCUUAGCAAGAUGAUCAAACAUGAUAUAGAAAGGAAGCUGAUUGAACAAAAAGUAACCUUUUUGAAUGGCCUUAGAUCCGAGUGGAGAGCGGUUGUGUCCACUGUUAAAGCUCAUGAGCAAUUUAAAUCUUAUUCAUUGGCAAAGCUAGUCGGGAUUCUGAAAUCCCAAGAAAAGAUUGUCUUGCAAGAGAAAAAUGUGGUCUCAAGUUUAGGGUCCUUGGCACUCCUGUCUAAAAGCAAAAGUGUGGUAGAAGAGGAAGAUCUCAACUUAGAAGACUAUGAUCUUACUUCUGAAGACUAUGCAAUGACGGUGUCGAAUCCAAAGAGGUUCAUUAAGAAAAGGUUCCCUACCAAUAAGAACCGAAAUUGGCAGGGAAGCUACAGUUCUGAAAAGGUUAAGGAGGAACCGAAGACUGAAGAAUCAAAGAAGGAGACGAAGGUUGAAUGAGAUUCUGGUAUGAACUGCUACUACUGUGGAGGAAAGAACCACUAUGCCAAAGACUGUGUCCUAAAGAAAAUGACAGAGAAGGAUGAGGAAAAAGAUGAAGAAGUUGUGUUGAUGAAAAAGCUGGAAGAGAUUAAGAGAAAGAAAGUUGCUACUAACCCUUCGAUGAAUGCUUUAAUUGUGCAGGGUUCGGCAGCGGAUGAUGAGUUCAGUGGAGUGCAGGUCUGGUUAACCGACUCAGAGGACGAUGAAGUUAGGAAGCCAUCUCAAGGAAAGGCGUAUGUUACAAGAGGUGAUGAAAGCAGUGGGAAGUGUUUGAUGGUGACAGAUGUAUCUCAAAUGAGGGGAUACAAUACAGACGGUGGGAAAGAGGACACCAAGGAGCGAGAGGACUUAUGCUUCACUGCAAAACCUCUCAGUGUGCAGAUCAAUGAGCUUGAUGAAUUGAUCAAGAAGGUACAAUCCGUUUUUGUUUCAUUUAAAGUCCCACAAAAUUCAUAUGAAAAAGAAUUAAAAAGCUUAAAUUCAAGAAUCUCAAAUCUAGAUAGCUGUUUAAAUCAAACACGGGUCACCAAUUCUAACCUAACUGACCAAAUAAGCAGGGUGUCAUCCAAGAGUGAGGAUCGAAGGAUGUGGAUAGAGCUGAAGGAGUUGGAGAUGAUUAAAUCUAAGGACGAAAACAUUUAUUUACAAAGAGACAAUUUAAAACUUCUGAAACAGAGAAAUGUUUUUUGUUUAAUUGCUAAACUUCUUUAUGCUAACAUCACUCAACUUCAUCUGAACUGUGAAAUAGGGCAGAAAAUUCAUCGCAUGAUUUUGCCCUUCCUUGAGUUUAAGGAGGAUGAAAUCGAUACUGAAGCAUAUAAUUCCGAAAGUGUAGUUUCAUCUGAUGAUGUGAAUCCGACUUAUAUGUAUGGUCUGGACAAAAUCGAAUCUUUUAUAAAGUCCAAGGACCAUAAGGACAUGCUGAAAAACCUUUUGGAUGAAAACGAUAAACUGAAACUAAGGACCGAAACCAUACAAAAAUUUGACUCAUUGAAUGCCAACUUGAGCUCAGAAAAUAAAAUUGAUGUUGAAAACGCGUCUGAGCUUAAUGAGGAUGAUGAUAUGAGCGUAAUUUCUGUAGAGGAUGAAGUUGACUGUUCUGAGUUUGUCAAGAGCGAACCCGAAAACCACAAAAAUCUUAUUUCUGAAAAUUCUGUGGAGUUUGCUCGUUUGUCCCAAAAUAAGUCCCCGAUUCUUGAAGAAAAGGCUGUUGUGUACCAAAAGGUGAGAACAACACCAAAUCAGGUGUAUAAGGUCACAGGAGUAACCGAACAUCAGACAGCCGAACUCACUGCCAUAGUAAACGAAGAUAAUGCAGAUGGCUGUGAUGAGUUUUUCUGGUCUGCUCCUAUAGAUAAUGCUGACGAAACCGUUGGUCUGUCAGAGCGAACGUCCUGGAAAACCAAAGGCAGAUAUGUGCCAGAGCCACUAAACAAGCCUGACAACUUCGAUGUGCCAAGUACUAGUGGUACAAAAGAAGUUCCUGUAGAAGAAGUCACUCCUACAAGCGAAACAUCAUCUGUUAAAAGUGAACCGGCUGACAGGAAGCAAAAGCAAAAAGCCAACAUCCACCGACAGCCAAAGCAAGUGAAGGAUCAAAAGCAGCAAAGGAAUCUGAGAUACAAAAAGAAUCUCUCAGAGCGAAAACAGUUUUGGCGAUCUCAAAACACCCAUUUCUCUUAUCAUGACAAAAAUUCAAAGUCAGAGAGAAGUACUGUUAGGCCGCAAGAAAGUAAUAACAACCAAAAGGACAGGUUCGGUUCUAACAGGAAUAACAACCGAAGGGAAAGGUUCAAUUCAGAGAACACCAGCUACCGAAAGCAUAGGUUCGGUUCCGAGAGCAAAAGCUAUCAAGGUUCAAGGUUCGGUCCCACUAAUGACCAAAACCUAAAGGGUCACUUAGAACCUCAAGUCAAGAAAACUUCUCAGUCUAAAUUCUCUCGUUCUAAUUCUUCUCAACCCCAUUCUAAAUCCAAUUCUGUUCAAACUCAAAAUCCAAAAUCUUCAACAGAUUUGAAAGGAAAAUCGAAGGUUUCCUCAGUCAAGAAUGAUCAAAAGCAUUCCAAGGCCCAAACGCCUGAACCUGAAUCCAAACCGACUGUAACAAAUCCCAACAAAAUUAAAGUUUUCACUAUUAAGAAGAAAGAUGAAACAACUUUAAUAAAAAGAACAUAUCUUGUUGACAUUUCUCUUACUAUUCCUGUUCCUGUGAAAGGCUCACGUGGACCCAAGAAACUUUGGGUUCCUAAAUCUGCUUGAUUUUUGCAGGUUAUCAGUGACGAGCAGUUCGACGAAGAAUGGUAUAUUGACAGUGGCUGCUCACGUCACAUGACAGGAAGGAAGGAAGAGCUGAGGGAAUUUCGAUCUCUUCCAAACGGCGGGAAUGUCAAGUUCGGGAACAACUCAUAUGGCACGAUAAAAGGUUAUGGGAUGAUAACAAAUGGAGACUUCACGAUUAGAAAGGUUGCAUACGUUGAAGGACUACAGCAUAACCUCAUCAGUGUAUCUCAGCUUGUUGGAGGUACCGGUCUUAAAGUUUCAUUUGACGAUGAGGGUUCGGAAAUAAUAGAGAAGAAAACAAAACGAGUGAUUCUCAAAUCAGAGCGCAAAGGCGAAAUGUUUCCUCUCAAUCUCAAACCUAUCAAAGGAAAUCCACCUAUCUGUCUAUUAUCCAAAGCACAUUCUGACAAAAGCUGGUUGUGGCAUCGAAGGCUCUCCCAUCUUAACUUCAAGGAUAUCAACAAGCUUGUCACCGGAGGGCAUGUUCGAGGUCUUCCAUUGCUUAAGUUUGAUCGAUAACAUUUGUGUGCUGCGUGUGAAAUGGGGAAGCAGAGUCGUCAAAGUCACCCAUCCACUAUAAACACUAAAGUUGUUGAACCACUUGAGUUACUUCACAUUGACUUGUGUGGUCCAUCAUCUAUCGAAAGCAUUGGUGGUAGCAAGUAUAUUCUUGUUAUCGUUGAUGACUUUUCACGUUUUACAUGGGUGUUCUUUCUAAAGCACAAAUCUGAGGCAACUCUCAAGCUAAAGAUGUUUAUCAAGCAGAUUGAAGUGCAACUGAGGAAAGUUGUUCGCAACAUCAGAAGCGACAAUGGGCUGGAGUUCAAAAAUAAAGAAUUUGAAGACUUUUUGGCAGAAAAAGGAACCAGUCACAACUUCUCAGCCCCCUACACCCCUCAACAAAACAGAAUUGUCGAAAGACGAAACCGAUCUUUGUGUGAGGCGGCUCGAACCAUGUUAAGUUUCGCUUCUCUACCUCUAUAUUUAUGGGCUGAUGCUAUUGUUGCAGCAUGUUUUACGCAGAAUAGGUCCUAUCUAAAUAAGCGUUUCACUCUUACUCCUUAUGAGAUCAUCAACAACAGGAAGCCAAACGUUAAAUUCUUCCAUUUAUUCGGCUCACGAUGCUUCAUCUUCAACUCCAAUGAACAUCGUAACAAGUUCGACGUUAAAUCCGAUGAAGGAAUUUUUAUGGGAUACUCUCUUCCUUCAAAAGCAUACAGGGUUUUAAACAAGCGUUCGAGGAAGAUUGAAGAAACGUAUUACGUGACUUUCGAUGACAGCUACGUCAAGAAGCUGAAGGCCACUGAAGAAACUUUUGGAGAAAUUUUCUCUCAAACAGGCCAAGUCACGGCCUCAAUUGUUAAUUUGUUUGAGAAGUUUGUGGAAUUGUUCGAUGAACCGGAGAAAGCUACUCUAUCGGAAGCCAAGGCAGCAGACAAUAAAGUCAACCAUCUGAAGCAAAUCGUUGAAGAUGCCGCCAAACGAAUGGGUGAAGGAGGACAUGUUCCAAACGAACCUCCAAAACAUGGUGCUUCAGUUAAGGGGGAAAAUCCAACUUCUUCAAAACAGCCGAGUUCACAAGUUGAGGGGGAGAACUCUUCUCUAGCUGCACCCGAAAGCUCUACUGCACCCGAAGGUACUGUAGCUCCCGAAAGCUCAACUGCACCCGAAAGCUCAACCGCACAUGAAAGUCCAACACCACCCGAAUGUCCUGUAGCACCAGAAAGUCCAGCUACACCUGAAAGCUCAUCUGUCGAGGGGGAGAAUGCCGACAUGUUUUACAACGAUGACAACCAAUCUGAAUUAGAAGAAAUGGUGAAUGCUAAAUUGGAUCCAUCCUAUGAUCCAAAUUACCCUCCUCUUGUCAAAUGGACCAGAGAUCAUCCUGUUUCACAGGUUGUGGGUAAUGUCUCUGAAAAGGUCCUGACCCGAUCUCAACUGAAGGCAAAGCAAGCAUCUCUAUUCUCAAAAGUAGAGUUCUGCAUGUUUAACUCUUUCGUCUCAAAAGUUGAACCAAAGACAGUAAACACUGCUCUUGAUCACUUUGAUUGGGUUCAAGCUAUGCAAGACGAACUUAAUGAGUUCGAAAGAAAUAAGGUUUGGCACCUCAUUCCAACUCCUAAAGAUGCCUCGGUUGUUGGUCUCAAAUGGGUCUUCAGAAAUAAAAUGGACAAGGAAGGCAAUGUGAUAAGAAACAAAGCUCGUCUAGUGGUGAAAGGAUACUGCCAGGAGGAAGGAAUCGAUUAUGAGGAAACUUUUUCUCCUGUAGCUAGGCUGGAAUCUGUUCGAAUAUUUCUUGCCUAUGCUGCACACAAGAACUUUGAGGUCUACCAAAUGGACGUAAAGUGCGCAUUUCUAAAUGGAGAACUUGAAGAAACGGUGUACGUGGAGCAACCUCCGGGAUUCAUCAAUGAAAAGUACCCCAAUCACUGCUAUAUUCUGGACAAAGUGGUUUAUGGGCUGGAACAAGCACCUAGGGCCUGGUAUGAAACGCUAACCAAGUUUUUAAAGAUGUCCAAAUUCAAACAAGGUUCGGUUGACCCAACCUUCUUUCGUAAGAAGGAAGGUAACCACCUUAUGAUUGUUCAAAUCUAUGUCGAUGAUAUCAUCUUUGGCUCAACGAAUCCUAGCUUAACAGCUGAAUUCAGAAAGCUGAUGGAGACUAAAUUUGAAAUGAGCUCAAUGGGUCCGAUUAACUUUUUCCUUGGUUUAAAUAUUAGACAGGGACCCGAAGGCAUCUUUAUUAACCAGGAAGCCUACACCAAGACUCUCCUUGAUAAAUUCGACAUGAUGGGAGACUCAAAGGUUAAAGUUCCAAUGGCGUUCGGCACCAAGCUCACUCCAUCCUUGGAUAAGCCAGCAGUCGAUAUUACGCUAUAUCGCCAGAUGAUCGGUUCUUUAAUGUACCUUACUGCUAGCAGGCCUGAUAUAAUGUUUUCUGUUUGUUACUGUGCUAGAUUUCAGGCGAAUCCUCGUGAACCUCAUAUGCUUGCAGUGAAGAACAUACUCCGGUAUCUAAAACGAACUACCUCUCUCGGCCUAUGGUAUCUAUCAAAUGCAGGUUUCUUCGUUCAAGCCUACUCAGAUGCAGACCUUGUAGGUUGUGGACUAGACAGGAAAAGCACCACUGGAGGCUGCCAAUUCCUUGACGGGAAGUUGGUUAGCUGGCAAUCAAAGAAACAAACUUGUGUAUCUCUGUCUACAGCUGAAGCAGAAUACAUCGCAGCUGCCUCCUAUACAUCUCAAGUGAUUUGGAUCCAAAGCCAGCUCCGGGACUAUGGACUCAAUAUGAAAAAGAUCCCACUAUAUUGCGACUCUGAGAGUGCAAUUAGGAUCUGUCAUAACCCAGUGCAACACUCCAAGACUAAGCACAUAGCACAGAGGUAUCACUUUAUUAAGGAUCAUGUGGAAGAUCGGAACGUCGAAAUUCAUUUUGUUCGAACCACUAAUCAACUGGCUGACAUCUUCACUACAACUCUUCCUGAAGCUUCUUUCAACAAAAUUCUACAAGGGCUAGGAAUGAUGGAAUCGGAGUCAGUACCAAAAAUUACCUCUCAAGAUUAAAAGUAAGAAGCGAAAUAGACCGAACGUUCGGGUUCGGGUCUCAUGUAUGCCGAAAUGAACCGAACGCUCGGGUUCGGGUCUUGUUCUGGUGUACCGAUAUGAACCGAACGCUCGGGUUCGGUUGUAUCAUCUCUUCUUCACUUAUCACUCAAAGGUAGUUUCUUUGGUUGUAAAUCUUUUGUAUUAUUUUUCCAAAUUCAUUUAUCUUAUUGUCAAAGUUCUUUUCUUUUUCAAAAUUAUUUUUUUUGGCAACCGAAAUUGACCGAACGUUCGGGUUCGGUUCCAAAAAAUUUCUCACCCGAAAUAGACCGAACGCUCGGGUUCGGUUCCAAAAUUUUCCAAUUUUUUUUAUUCAUUUUUAAUGUCUUAUUUUCCUUUUUAUCUAAAAUUCCAAAAAUAUUUUUUUAUUUUUUUUAAAUUCAAAAACUCCAAAAAUAUUUUUUUUAUUAUUUAUUUUUCUCUUUCUUUAUUUUAUUUUAAUUUUGGCUCUUAUCUUUUUGUACGUCUCUUUGGGGGUUAUUAUUUCACUAGCUAAGUGUCCCUAGAAGCAUGCCACUGUAUGUGUCCAAAGCCUCACCUGAUUCUGAAUAAAAGCCUUACUGACUUGGUACAAACAAACCUUGUCUUCCCAAUUAGGCUCUCAUAUUUAUUCUAAUCAUGAGCUACCUAACUCUCUUCUCACAUGAGAUAAGAGUUUUCUGCUUAGUCCUUAUUUUUCACAGCAGAGGUACUUUGGUCUCUUUACACCAUCUACAUUACUUUUCUCCAUCUCAUUCACUUCACAAACGUAACCCUUGAGACUCUCAGACAUUACCACUAAGGUUUAUGGUUGCACAAUUUCUGUGUUCAUGAUCUUCGCUUCGUGUCACUACGUGCUAAGUGAAACCCACAAUUCAAUACUUACUAUGCAUUGACGGUGAACAAUUAUCUUGCUCUAGCUUUCACUAAUGAAUUGACGGACUUAUCCACGGGGAUACAACAUGAAAUCUCUAUUAUUAUUUUUUUGAGUGAUUCCUAUGAAAUUGUUAAAUCCAAUAACAUUUCUUCCCUUGGGAUCCAGUUUUAAUUUUUUUUAGAUUUCGCAUACAUUAGUUUACCUUGCCACCUAAAUUAUCUCCAACCUACUUGUUCAACAGACUACAUUGGUCUCACAAGUACUUCGUUCGAUUUCUAUCUUAUAUCAAGAUCAGGAAUUAUGAAUCGAAGCGAAAGCCACCCUCAUAAGCCUAAUUAAAAGAAGCCUUUCAACACUUCUUAAUAAGUGUCUGAUCGUUAUUCAACAGGAAACCACACAAACACUNUUAAGGUCUCUCUUGAAUUUGAAGGAAGAGAUUCGUGCCCGGGAUCAAUUGUUUCGUGUCUUUAUUGACAUCACCUAAUCCCUCAAAAGUGUUGCUUUAUUUCUUUUUCUUUUACACACUCAGCACGAAAAUCUUUUUGAUUUUCCAAAAUUCUGAUUUCAUUAAUUUCAAGACAUUUUAAUUAGAUUGGUUGUUAUAAAAGGGUUGUGGUUGAUAUUGAUCCGCGUGGGCGAUUUUAUUUUAAAGAUGCCGUUAAACUCUAAAGGGAUAAGAUGACAAAAUGAUGACUCAGGCGGGAGUCCAAUCGAUUUGAUUUCAAACGGGGCAAGAAGGCAAAGCGUGCGAAUUAGAACCGUUUCAUCUCCAACCGGCGCCUAAUGGGAAGGCGUGUAAUUAGGGACUGACACUCUCUCUCCUGCGUAAUCAUCGGCAACACCACAGUAUAAAAGAUUUGGGAAAGAUUCUUCUCUCUCCUUUACCCACAGUAAUCAAUCGCCUCCGAAAAACUCUUCGUUUUUCAAUAAAAGAUUUGGGAAAGAUUCUUCUCUCUUCUUUACCCACAGUAUAAAAGGCAAUGUAAACCACCGUUUACCUCUUUACUGCACCUUUAUUUCCAGAGAGCAAGAAAAUCGAUCCAACCUCUACUGUUCAUCAUCUCUCCCAUAUUCAUCACAACAAUGGCGGAUUCUUCAUCAGUUCACGCAACUUCACACAUCUUGCCGAUUCGUCCCCAGCAGAGUUUGAUCAUUGAUCUUACUCCUCAGGAAUACGACGCUUUCAUGUUUCCCAUCAUCAAAUGCCUGAAAUACUCGCCAAUCGCUCCUGCUCUUACCAGGGCUGAAGCUGUUCCCAUGGAGUUCUUGUCACAGAUUUUUGCCACAGCUCACUACGACAAGGUCGUAGACAGGAUUUUCUUCGAUGUCUUCGAGCACAAGGUGUCGAUUUCCAAGCAGAGGUUUUGUACGCUGUUAGGGUUUGAACCUGAUUCGUCGAGGGUUAAUCCUGAAACCAUUCCUAUGGGUCAUCUGUUCAACAUGUUCUACAACAUGGGGUACACUGAGGUGCUCACAACGGUCACGAAAUUCAAGAAAUCGUGCCUGCCCCCUCAGUGGAAUGGGAUGUUUACUGUGCUUCUCAAGGGCUUGUCUGAAAGAAGUGCUAGAUCAGACGGGGCAAGUUGUAUGUUCAUUUCGAUCAUGUACGGGCUCUACAACGGUAUCAAUAUGGACUACGGGUCGGUCCUUUGGCAACAACUCAUUCAGAGUCUGUCUUCCACUUCUCGACAUUCAGAGAUUUCAUACGCCCGUUUCUGGACUCUUGUCACUAAAUGGGUGAUGUACAAGUACCACAUCCCCAUCAUUGCUGGUUCUCCAAUGUCUUCGAUUGGUACUUUCCAUACCACGAAGAUCAUUGUUUCUCAUGCUUCUAAAUUUUCGUUCAACGGUUCAAUUCCGGAAACAAUGUAUGGUGACGUUCCUACCGACAGUCGGAUCAUUAGAACGUACAAGGAGUUCCGACGCUCUGGUCCAAGAGAGCUUACUCCAGAGAUGCUCAAGUCAAUUCACCAUGCUGACAAACCUGCCCCCAGAGGAAAGAAGGCUGAUAUGGGCAAGCAGGUUGCAAAGGGAGCGAAAGGCCCAUCUCCCAAGAAGAGGAAAACCACCAGAGCCGCCCAAUCCCCUCCUAUGAAGAAGCAAAAAACCCAACCAAGGCGAAAGCUGAUCAUCGCUUCGUCCUCAAGCGAAUCUGAGGAAGAGGGUUCUGAUUCUGAUGGAUCUCAACGUGGUAACACUCCACCACGUUCGCCUACACCAGAGAUUCAUAUUUCCACUUCUCUUAUUUCCUCUCCACCAGUUACAAUUCCUUUUUCCAUUCCCCCCAUAACCUCCACCACUCAAAUACCAUCCACCUCCAUCCCAGUACCACCACCUAUAUUUANNNNNNNNNNNNNNNNNNNNNNNNNNNNNNNNNNNNNNNNNNNNNNNNNNNNNNNNNNNNNNNNNNNNNNNNNNNNNNNNNNNNNNNNNNNNNNNNNNNNNNNNNNNNNNNNNNNNNNNNNNNNNNNNNNNNNNNNNNNNNNNNNNNNNNNNNNNNNNNNNNNNNNNNNNNNNNNNNNNNNNNNNNNNNNNNNNNNNNNNNNNNNNNNNNNNNNNNNNNNNNNNNNNNNNNNNNNNNNNNNNNNNNNNNNNNNNNNNNNNNNNNNNNNNNNNNNNNNNNNNNNNNNNNNNNNNNNNNNNNNNNNNNNNNNNNNNNNNNNNNNNNNNNNNNNNNNNNNNNNNNNNNNNNNNNNNNNNNNNNNNNNNNNNNNNNNNNNNNNNNNNNNNNNNNNNNNNNNNNNNNNNNNNNNNNNNNNNNNNNNNNNNNNNNNNNNNNNNNNNNNNNNNNNNNNNNNNNNNNNNNNNNNNNNNNNNNNNNNNNNNNNNNNNNNNNNNNNNNNNNNNNNNNNNNNNNNNNNNNNNNNNNNNNNNNNNNNNNNNNNNNNNNNNNNNNNNNNNNNNNNNNNNNNNNNNNNNNNNNNNNNNNNNNNNNNNNNNNNNNNNNNNNNNNNNNNNNNNNNNNNNNNNNNNNNNNNNNNNNNNNNNNNNNNNNNNNNNNNNNNNNNNNNNNNNNNNNNNNNNNNNNNNNNNNNNNNNNNNNNNNNNNNNNNNNNNNNNNNNNNNNNNNNNNNNNNNNNNNNNNCAUUGAGGAGCGUCUCUCCAAGCUUCAAGAAGACUUAGCUGCUGAGAACUCUCUCAUGGAUGGUCUCGCAAGGAAAACUACCGCUCUGAAGGUCAAGAGUAUUCAACUCUCCAACUCUCAACAGGAGAUUGAGUCUCUUCGAUCUGAAAGAGAGGUGGUUAAAUCGUGUGUUUCGGAUUUCCACUCAGCUAUCUCAAACAUCCUUGAAGCACAUGACCCGAUCCUCAAUUAUUCUGUGAGGCGUGACCUUGCAGAGAAGCUUGCUCCCGCCCUCUCUCUACUAAGCAAAAUUGAAGGGCUCCUUGAUUUCGUGUCCAUUCCGAAACAAGGGGGAGAAAAAGAACAAGUGUCUCAACCACCUCCUACUUCAACAGCAACUCACACAACCGAACCUCCUCCAGUAGGCCAAGCCUUAGGUUCCGGUGUGAAAGACAAAGGCAAGAAAAUUGCUGAGGAGAGUGAUGAUGAUGAUAAGGAGACAAUUGCCGACCUUCUGAAACGACAAGGUCGAGACAAAGAGGCUGACAUCAGUGCUCGUGUGGCUAGAGAGGCUAAAGAAGCUGAAAGAAGACAGAAAGAAGCCCACGACCUUCUCGAGAGCAGGAAAACUCUUUUUCCUCCUUGGACUCUUGAGAAGCUGAUUAAAGAAGCCAUCGAAACACCAAGUAUCUUGUGGCUAGAACCUGUGAUCUCUUUAGAUCGUUCUAACACUGUCGACUCUCAGUUCGAUAUGCCACUGACCCGAAAGGUGUUUAUCUUUCAUGCCUUUGACAACAUUGCUGAGUUCCCUCAUCCGCAUCCAAAGGUUGAUCGGGACUUAGUCGAAUUUUAUCUGAGAGCAGCUCAACCAUAAUACCAAACUUGGAGCGCUCAGAAAAUCGUCAAUGUUCGGGUCCUAAAGCCGUUUAGGGAAGGUAACUUCACCAACGUUCGGUUCAAGGUACUACGGGGAUCUGCCAAGACCGAACAUGCCAUCUCACUUGAAGAUCUUCUAAACCUUAAUCCCCAUGACUGGAUUAUCUUGCACAAAAUCCUUCUUACAAACGAAGCUGAAUAUGGUCCGAUCAUCGACCACCUUAAGAGGAUGCUUGUAUGCUAUGUCAUGGAAGUUGCUCUGAUGGAUCAGGAGAUAGCGAACGUAUUCAAGAAAAAGCCUACCAUAUCUCCUGUUGGCUCUGCCAGUGAUCUCAACAUGAUGCAGAUGGGGAAGAUUGACCCAAAGAGAAACUCCGUCAUGUUUACCAGGAACGAAGGACAUAAAUGUCUUUUUGCCUUGGCAGACAAACAUCUCUACACCACUGCCUGUUUGGAACACGUUUUAGGGAUCAUCCAUUGAUGCAAGCAGAACACAGCGGAUGAUAUCAAGUACUUUGAUGACAUGAUUUAAUGGUACAUUCGUUUCAGACAGACUAUCCUUGCACUUAUCUCACGUCUGUUUGAUACAACAAAGAAGGUUCCUGCUACUGGCCCAAGCAAGAAGAAACGAUAGUCUCGCUCCAAAUUGACGCAAAGGGGGAGAUUGUUAGGUCUAGUAUUGUGUUGCGUCUAUUGGGCUCGUUAGCUAGUCCAUGUUUAUCUCCGGUAUGGGCCUGUCCAUCCAUGAGUUUUGUAGGGUUUAUUAUAAAUAGAUGCUUGCAUGCAUCCUAGAAGUGGGGAUUAAGAAACGAUUAGAAAAGUAUUAUUCAGCAUAUUCAUCGUUCUUAUUUUUUGUAACCCUAGAGUCCUCUACAGCGGAAGUUCUUAGUCGAGCUCUGCUGAGGAUCGAGUAAUCUAAUCAUUCGACAUAUUCUGAUUCAUACUUGUGUUUCGUUUUUACUAUCUUUACGAUCAUUACUUACCUGUUACAAAGAUCUAAUCGAUCAAAGAGUUAUUUUAUAACUCAUCAGAGACAUCAUGAAUCGUGUCCCGUAUGCUUCGGAUAUAGGAUCGAUUGCAUGUGCUAUAAUAUUCAUCCUUUCUAAGAAAUUUCCAAAUGCCUGGAGCAUUAAGAAGGGAAAAGGUCUAGAAUUGGAUAUGACUAAAAUAAUUAAGCAAUUUUCAAGGACAAUCUAAGGUUUACCAAUGACUGGUUGCUCAAUGACAGUUGGAAAUAUAAUGUUAAUUUUAGAAGGACCAUAUUGACAUAUUCUAAAAAGAGGCAACUCUUGUUCAGGAGUGAUAGUCAAAAUGGGAAUAUGGAGUUGUUCCCAUAGGUGGAAGUUAUUCAUUAAAUGUGUGUAAGACUAGGAAACUUAAUGCAAGAAGAAUGUUCAAAGGCAAUGAACUUUGAAGAUGAGACUUAGGUUCCAUGGAGUUGGUCUCCAUUGGAAUACUCUGUAAUGUUUGUUGACAAGUCUUUGUGACUUUGUGCAUAAUCAUUACAAGAGGACUGAUGCAUAUAAGUUUAGAAUCUAACAGAUUUAGGUAAAUGGCAUGAAUUUGGAAUUCUUGCAUUUGCGGUAAGGAUUUAGGACUGUGAAAUGAGAAUCAUUGGAAUUAUGUUCAAUCAAUCUAUUUCACAAAGUAAGAUCAUAGACAAACUUAGUAUGCAUACUUGGUGUAUGGCAAAACUAAUGUUUAGACAAACAUAGUGUGCAUACUUGGUGUAUGGCAUGACUAGUGUUUAGAAAACAUAGUGUACAUGCUUGGAGCAUGGGACAGCUAUUGUUUUAAUUCAAGUAUAAAGUUGAUAGUUUCAAACAGUAUGUAAUGAAUGAUAGGUAAUCAAUAUUGUGACAACCCGAAAUUUAUUCCUUCAUUUUUAACCCCUUUUUCCGUUAAUAAGCCUCGUUUUAUUUAACUGUCCGUUAGCUUUUGGACUGGCUAAUUAAUUUGGGAAUUUUAUAAAUGACUUUAUUAGGGUUGAAACAAAUUAGAAACAUCCCCAAUUUUUCCCUUGAAAAAUUUUAGUUUCAACCAAGUCAAAAUACGACCACUAAAUCGGGUGCGACCAAAAGCCCCGUUUAACGGCAGUAUCGGGUAGAUUUCUACUGAGCCUCAACUCAAACCCCUAUAUAAGGGGGAGUGGACCUUAUUUCCACCCUUUUCACACUCUCACUCCACCCUCUCUCUACAACUUAUUUUUCGAGCCAAAAACGUCCGUUUCGAGCCCCAAACGAGUAAGCAAUCUACCCUAACUUGUUGUAUAGCUUAGCUAGCACGCAAAUUCGCGUUUAAAACAUCAAAUAGGGGUAAAUUCAUGUGUUUAUGGACCAAGAUCACUCUUGGACCGUGAACACCCUUAAAUGGGGUUUUUAAGCCCCAAAACCCCUCUAAACUACCCCUAAGGCUUAUAUAUGGCUAAAUGACUUAUGGAAACGGACUUAGAACACAUCUAACAUAACUUUUGGGGAGUAAACUUGAUUUUACUGCCCAAGAACAUGCUUGGGCCGUAAACUCCUCUUCAUGGGGAGUAAACUCAAGUUUAAGUGUUAGAAAUGCCCUCAAACACCUCCUAUGGCCUUGGAAAAAUGUCUAGAAGCAAUCCCGUUGUUGUAAAUGCUUUAAACAUUAAAGAAACCAAGGAAAUAGGAGUUUAUGGCCGUAAACCCCCCUAGGAAAGGUCCAUGUGCCGUAAACUCCUAAAAGGUGCCCAAAUGAUGCCCUAAACUCCCCAUUUGACUUGGAAAAAUGCAUAGGAUUUUAUUCUCCAUCAUUUAAGUCUUUAAAACACCAAAAGAAUAUGUAUAUAGGAGCUUACAGCCGUAAACUCCUUGUUCAGGGCCGUAAACUCCUUAUUUGGUCCAUUUGAUGCCUUAAAUCCAUCCAUACACUUUACAUUUGGACCUAGCCUAAUUUUAUGAGAGAUAUAAGGCCAUUUAGCAUCCUAGAACACCCUCACCAUGAGUUUACAGCCGUAAACUCAUGGGGAGUUAGUCCCAGGUACGUGAACUCUAUAAAGAGUUUACUCUUGGAGAGUAAACUCCCUAUUUGAGUCAUACACACCCUUAAACGUUACCCGGGACACCCCUAGCACUUAAUCAAAGUGUUUUCCGUACUUUAGGAUGCGUAUACUUUCUUAAUUAGUAUUAUAUAUACUAAUUGUAUGUAAACAUAUGAUAUCAUAUGUUAAUAGGUCACUAAGUGUGUUCAAGUCUUUACUUGACACCGAGCACCCAACCGGCAUCUUCGUCGGAUCCACUUACAUCAGGUGAGUUCAUACCCCCGAAUUAACCUUUUAAAUCUUUUUACAUGUUUUUAUGGGGGGAAUACAAGUUAAAAAUGCCAGUUAUCAUAUCAAUCACAUGUGAUUGAUAACCCGCAUGCACAAGGAUUUACUACACUGUCAACUGUUUUACCAAGUAUGAUACUAUAAAUGGUUUUCUAAAACGUCUUUACUUGUUCAAAAUCUUUACUUAUAUUGUUUUAUCAAAGUUAUAACCAAAAUGUGUUUAUGAAAGGUUUUCAAAGGAUUUAUAAGGGUUUUCAAACUUGUUUUACAAAAGAAUACCAAGUCGCGAUUUUCUUAACUAUAAAGGUUUUCCCAAAGUUUUCUUCCAUGUUUUCAUACUCCUACUUGGUUAGAUACUACUGCUUCGUUAUACUUCCACUUCGUGAUACACUUAUACUUGAUAACGCUUCUACUUCAAUUAUACUUAUUAACGCUUCCACUUCGUGAUACACUUAUACUUGAUAACGCUUCUACUUCACUUAUACUUGAUAACGCUUCUACUUCACUUAUACUUAUUAACGCUUCCACUUCGUGAUACACUUAUACUUGAUAACGCUUCUACUUCACUUAUACUUGAUAACGCUUCUACUGCACUUAUACUUAUUAACGCUUCCACUUCGUGAUACACUUAUACUUAUUAACGUUUCUACUUCACGAUACACUUCUACUUCACGAUACCCUUCUACUUCACGAUACACUUCUACUUCACGAUACGUUUCCACUUAGUUAAAUGUAUGCCUGUACAUGUAUAGUUAUAUAAAUAAUGAUUAAAGGACUUAGGAAGGUUAGUUCGCCCUAUUUCCUUUUCUUCGUUGAGAUGUGGUCUGGUGGGAUCGGAUAUCCAUCUGAAGGUCGUUUGAUCAUUAAUUAUAUAUCAUGUAUACAUGUAUAGACAUAUGGGUUUACAUCGAUCGGUUUAGUUAUGACUCUCUACUGCUAGUCCAACACUUACAUCAGAAUCCAUUAUUCAGGAUACAUCUUUAGGACACGGCCUUCUCCGUUGUCUAGUUGGUAACUAGAGUCUCUUGUAGGGAGAGCGGACAUUGUGUGUAUAGAUCUAUACGGGAUUGACACCCCCACACCCUGACUGCUAGCUACAGUCCACGGCCUACCAAGCCAAGGGGUGACAAAUGUCACAUCUUUAUUUUGAUGCCUACAUGGCGUCGAUUUCUCUAGUUUCUAUCAUCAUGGUUACGAGUAUCUCGGGGUUACCUUAUAAUUCAUGGCCUUAAGGUAACGACGCUUAACACUAUAUGCUGAGAAUACACACCUUGAAUAUACACACCUAGAAUUACACUAUUUUUAGACCUUGCUAGUUGUAUCUUUCAUCUGAUACUGUCUGGGGUCUGUCUCCACUAUUUUGGACCGUGCUAGCCGUAUCUUUCAUUUGAUACUAUCUAGGGUCUGUAUUCACUGUUUUAGACCGUGCUAGCCGUAUCUUUCAUUUGAUACUGUCUAGGGUCUGUAUUCGCUGUUUUAGACCGUGCUAGUUGUAUCUUUCAUUUGAUACUGUCUAGGGUCUGUAUUCACUGUUUUAGACCUUGCUAGCUGUAUCUUUCAUUUGAUACUGUUUGGGGUCGGUGUCUCCUUUUGUUAGACUGGGCCAAGCGUUUUGUUCAUUCGAUACUCUCCUGGAGUCUAUGAUUCCUUUUGCCUUAGUCAGCAGUGUUCACUGUUGAGGCAUAUGUUAUUUUCCCUUAUAUUCUCCUACUUUCUUUAAAAUCGAAUCCUGUAUUUUGAUAAUGAUAGUGUUUAAGGGAAAACUACUUUUUACAACAUAACUUUGUCCAGUCUUGGUAGAAGACUGCAUUUAAUUAGAAAAUAUAGGAUUUUCUGGAAAGAUCUCUAAUACACUGUAGACUCUAAAACUACUACUACUUAUAAAGUUAUUUGAAUAAAAUGACACUAAAUACUUAUGAACUCACCAGCAUUUGUAAAAAUGCUGAUACUUGCUUUUAAAUAACUUGUAUUCUCAGGUUAGCAAUAGACAGGUACAUCCCCGGAGCUUUUGGUGAAGACAGUUUAGUACCAAGCUGCACCUAUAUCAUUACUUGUAUUACUUUGAUGUUUCUAUGUAAUGUAAACUAUGUAAAACUAUUACUAUUAAUGCAAUGGUUGUUGUACUUUGAUUACUAUACUGCAUAUGUUGUGAUACUUGACAUGAUGUCAUCCACCCCAGAACGUUUCUGCCGUUCCGGUUUUUGGGUGUGAUAGAUUGGUAUCAGAGCAUUGUUUAUAGUGAGCUAAGUAUAUCAAUUCAUAAAAGAUAUACAGCCUAUAAAUACAUAGGGAUAAAACUCUCUAACCAAGAAUUAUACUUUAAAAUAUAACCAUAUUUUACCAAAGUAUAAGAACAUCCAGGAUCUAAACACUCGAACACAAGUAUCACAAGAAGAACAAGAAUAAAAGUCUUCGGAUGUUGAGCAUUACCAUCAAACCUGGGCAGUUAUCUAAUCGUAAGCUGGAAUAAAUGUAACCUGAUCAACUACAUUUAUUCGAGAUGCGAUGAACGUGUGCUUGGGAGUGAUAGUGGUGUUGCAACAGGUCUGAAACUUACCAACUAGGAAUGCUAGAGCCAAACAUAAAGUUUAAAAAUCCUAUGGGAGUAUUUUGGAAUACUAAAAGACUCACGUUAAUCCUUGAAUCAUAUUCAGAAGUUAAGAACAAACAUGAAAUUAAAAUACCAUAGGGGUAUUUUAGGAUACAUAGAUAACCUUGUGUGAAGAACUAAAAAGAUCCUUAUUGAUAUACCUACAAUUACAGAGAGUAUACUCCCAAGGUUAUAUAUAAUAAGGAUCCCAUAGGCUAAGAAUGUGUGGUUUCGCUCUACUUCCUUUUCCUCGUUGGGAUGUGGAUAUAGAGUAGUAUCACAUAUUCGAAGGCCUAUCGGAUCUAAGCUAUAUAUGAUUUGUAUACCCUAUGUAAUCAUAGCAGGACUCGAUAUGGAUCAUCUAGUGAAAUGUUAAUAAUCUAUUAGGAUUCUUUAGACAUAUCCAUUCUCGCACGAACCUUGUAGAAAACCCUAUCCACUUCAGUACUCGACGGAAGAGUUGACUCCGACCCCGAAGAGAUUCAUUGAGAAGAUUUCCAGUUCGGAAAUAAAUGUACUGGGUUGAGACUAUUGAAAUCACCAAGUGCCUAUAUCUUUUAGGGACAUCGGUGAGAAAUUCGCCUAAACUUCCGAGAUUUCCAGUCAUCCAUCAUGAAGUGAUGACACCCAGAGUCGGAUUCGUAAGUAAGGCGGAGUAGAAAUUCAAUAUGUCUUCAAGAGAAAAGAACCCUAGGUAACGACCCGAAGAAAACCAACACCGGUCCCAGUCAAAGAUACGAGGUAGACAGAGGGAGCCGGUACAUGGAACCCAAGAAGUGUCUUCUCCUCACGAUUCGUCACACUAAUACACCCAUAAAAUAAUACAAUUUAGUGAGUUAGUGGUUACACUACUCACGCUAUGUGCUAAGUAAAACGCCUUUUCCCGUUGCAUGUAACAUGAUUAGAGCGGAUCCUCGCACCUCUAUUGAGAGUAUUUAGCCAUAAGUCUUCAUGAGCCUUUCUUCCCGCGAUCUUCUUUCCGAACUGUUCUCAAAUCUUUCCAAGCCGAAGAGUGAAACCUUUCCCAGUAUAAAAGUAACUUAGUAGGAACGACUCCCAUCUUAUGGCUUUUUCAGAUACUCACACUCCUACCUUGCAUACCAGGACUACAUUAAAGAGAUGUAGGUCGACACUCAGACAACCAACAUCCGAGGCACGGGAAAAAUUUAUGCCUAUUAUAAUAAAGACAGAUAUGUCCAGGGUUAACCAUCGUCUCUCGUCCACUUGUGUUCUUUUCCGUAUAGGAAAACCAUGCCUCCGAAGAAGCGUAACCCAUCCACUGACAAGAAACCGACUCUCCUACUCGAUGAAGCUACCUUCCAAACUGCAGUCUCAGCAGCCAUUGCAGCUGCCAUGGCUCAACUGAAUGCUAACAACGCCAAUGUUAGCAAGAGCCUUAUCGGGAAUUCCGACCCUAGUGGUGGACAGCGGCAACCAACCUCUGUGUACACAACCACCCAAGAACCUCAGUCAACUCCACUAAAGAGAAAACUCAAGACCGAGGAGGGAAGUACUCGGCUCAAGGACCUUCCGAAGGGCAACGAGCUGAGACAGUCAAUACCCAUGCCAGCCCUCCCAUCCUGACCUCCAGAAGACCAUACCUAGGAAACCUUCCCCACUACAGCAAGUGCAGUUUCCAUCAUCGUGGUAAAUGUCGGGAACUCUUUUGUGCUAGGUGCAACAUGAAGGGGCAUACUGCUCGCGUCUGCAGAACCCCGGUUGAGUUUAUUACAUCAACCACCAAAGUGGCGGCCAACCCAGUUUGCCGCCUAUGUGGUAAGGAUGGACACUUCAAGAAGAACCAUCCAAACUGAAGGAAACAACAAAGACUUGGGAGGAGUCUGACCCGAAUGCUUAGGGAGAAGCAUCAAGGAACCCGGUAGAUUUUUGGUACGUCUCUCAAUUUCAGAUAACUAACCGAAAACAUUAAAAGCCUAAGUCUAAAUGUAAUUAUUUCCCCCAUUAAGGCGAAAGUCGCAGCACGGUUAUAAAAUAUAAAAAUUUCAUUAGGUAAAACUAUAAUGGCUAAGUAUAUACGUUACGACCAUGUAUAAUUGAGAUGGAUAGACCUAGAGUGAGUGAAUGCCGCCUCAUUUCCUGUUCCUCGUUUGGUUGUGGAUUUAAGGCGCAGUCGCUCAGGCAACAGUCCUCCCCACCUUAAUUAUACAUGACUAGUAUAUGUUAGGCGAUUACAGAAAUGCCUCGUGAGAAUCCAUUCAUGAAAAGGUAAUCUACUCAGAAACACUUAGGACUCUCUAUAGUUCCACGUCGACUCUAUCAGUCCAAGUAUCCGCGGCAGGGAUACACGGGACGAAACUCGAGAUGCCUAGACUUUGUGUGCUCGUUCGGCACAUGACUCUAUCGACCCUCCUACUGUAUCAUGUCGAAGUGUGCCAACUUCGACGCCUCUAUCAAUUAUGGUUCGACUUCGUGCAACCAUGUGUAAAUCCUUAGUGUUGUGUAAAAAGAACUUUCUCCGAGGCCAUUUCAGCAAAUAAAGGUUCUUCGGAACCUGAAAAUAAUAAUACUAAUAAUACGUAAUGCGAUCCGUCAGCCGUCCCUCUUACCUCGAACCUUCCAAAGUACCCUAGAAAAAGGUACCGCGCGCUGUUAACCAACCCUUCUUAGACAGAUGGAAACUGAAGCGAAAGACACUGCAGGCAUUCGAGAAGACGAUAACCACCCGAAGCAUACCUCGUAGAUUCCCCAGAAAGACCCUUCAUCCUAUUUUGUAGAAUAGGAGCUAGAGUCAAGUGAACCACAGUGGGUUGAGCUACUAUGAUGACCACAAAUCCGAAAUUUGGUGUCAUCCCGAUUAAGCCAGCAUAGUAGCUAACACCCUCGGUUGGUAAGGAAAUCUAAGUCGUAAGAGUCAAGGACAUUGACUACGACCAUCCAUUCAUGCUUAAUCCGCUGAAUUAAGCAUCACAACGGAUAUCCCGGUAAUCCGAAAGCCGCGAUGAGUUAAACUCUAAGAAUAAUGGAUGAGGAGAUUAAAGUUCCGAGUGACGGAACCCUAUACUCACUAGAUUUGACCAAGACCGAGAAAACUCAGAACCUUCGGAAGAGUAGUUACUAAAGAUGCUCACACUACUCAGGCACUUCGUCCACCCCGUUACCGACGAGUAGUGCCUGGGACCCUCCGCCCCCUUGCGUGGAGGAAAUUGUCGUCACCCUGUAGACGAUAGACAUCAUUUUCCGAAGUGAACGCUAGGGUACCGAGAACUACAGGAUAACCUCCGCAGCCAAGAAUACUAGAAUAAAGUGUGAGAGUAGGUUGUGUUAAGCCUUAUAACCCAGAUCCCGAAGAGAUUAUAGACUUGACACCAGUCUAGGUGUUAUUCGACGGGUUAUACGGGAGCACGCGCUUUCUGCACUAGAAUAAACCAACGUCUUAGAGAUUCAUUGGACUACUAGGUGUUCCAUGAAUACUAUCUCUCACAGAAAUAGUAGAACCACCUCCAUAGAUAGUCCAACACUCGUCUGGUAAAACCCUAUCUCCUCGACCCUAAGGGUUUUCGUUAGAAAUAUCUCAAGAUUCGCUAGUGCAAGCUCAUUUUUGCACAAGAUUGAGAUAGCCACUCUGCAGGAAACAAGUACCCGUAGACAUGCAGUCCAUCCGAUGAUCUAGAAAGUCACUAAAAGCCAAUUGACAGGAAACGCAAAACCAAGGACAACCCAAGCUUCCUAAAAACCAACCUGAAGGACUACACUUCCAUUAUGAGAGAUAACGUUUGGAACUUUGGAAUGGCGAUCACGCCAGUGAUGAUCUUGCCAUAGAAGUACACUAUGUUCUAGGUACUGAAAGACUCUACCCUUCCGAGAGAUGAGGACCAUCUGAGACUCCUUACGGAGAUUUGGUCCAACCCUCGUCAGACCGCUACUACUUUCGGAUAUUCCACAAGUUUCACCACAGAUCAAUCCACCACUUAGACCUGACAAGUGCUUGCCCGAUGUAACACUUUGUAUCCCACUCAUCUUGAUAGAAACCAUUGAGAACCCUAACUUCAUAGACACACCUGUAGGAAAUUGCUAACUACACGAGACGGAAUCUGCAUCCCGUAGGUGAAGGUUUAUUGGAAUGACAAACACAGGCGAGAGUUCACUUGGGAGUGCAAGGACAAACCGAAUAGGAAGUACCCUCUUGCCUCUACUCGGUCAUUCAUACCUACUUCCUUGCCUAAACCUGAAUUUCGGGACGAAAUUCCCUCUAACGGGGGGAUGAUGUGACAACCCGACAUUUAUUCCGUCAUUUUUAACCCCUUUUUCCGUUAAUAAGCCUCGUUUUAUUUAACUGUCCGUUAACUUUUGGACUGGCUAAUUAAUUUGGUACUUUUAUAAAUGACUUUAUUAGGGUUGAAACAAAUUAGAAACAUCCUCAAUUUUUCCCUUGAAAAAAUUUAGUUUCAACCAAGUCAAAAUACGACCACUAAAUCGGGUGCGACCAAAAGCCCCGUUAAACGGCAGUAUCGGGUAGAUUUCCACUGAGCCUCAACUCAAACCCCUAUAUAAGGGGGAGUGGACCUCAUUUCCACCCUUUUCACACUCUCACUACACCCUCUCUCUACAACUUAUUUUUCGAGCCAAAAAUAUCCGUUUCAAGCCCCAAACGAGUAACCAAUCUACCCUAACUUGUUGUAUAGCUUAGCUAGCACGCAAAUUCGCGUUUAAAACAUCAAAUAGGGGUAAAUUCAUGUGUUUACGGCCCAAGAUCACUCUUGGACCGUGAACACCCUUAAAUUUGGUUUUUAAGCCCCAAAACCCCUCUAAACUACCCCUAAGGCUUAGAUAUGGCUAAAUGACUUAUAAAAACGGACUUACAACACAUCUAACUUAACUUUUGGGGAGUAAACUUGAGUUUACUGCCCAAGAACAUGCUUGGGCCGUAAACUCCUCUUCAUGGGGAGUAAACUCAAGUUUAAGUGUUAGAAAUGUCCUCAAACACCUCCUAUGGCCUUGGAAAAAUGUCUAGAAGCAAUCCCGUUGUUCUAAAUGCUUUAAACAUUAAAGAAACCAAGGAAAUAGGAUUUUACGGCCGUAAAUCCCCCUAGGAAAGGUCCAUGUGCCAUAAACUCCUAAAAGGUGCCCAAAUGAUGCCCUAAACUCCCCAUUUGACUUGGAAAAAUGCAUAGGAUUUUAUUCUCCAUCAUUUAAGUCUUUAAAACACCAAAAGAAUAUGUAUAUAGGAGCUUACAGUCGUAAACUCCUUGUUUAGAGCCGUAAACCCGUUAUUUGGUCCAUUUGAUGCCUUAAAUCCAUCCAUACACUUUACAUUUGGACCUAGCCUAAUUUUAUGAGAGAUAUAAGGCCAUUUAGCAUCCUAGAACACCCUCACCAUGAGUUUACGGCCGUAAACUCAUGGGGAGUUAGUCCCAGGUCCGUGAACUCUAUAAAGAGUUUACUCUUGGAGAGUAAACUCCCUAUUUGAGCCAUACACACCCUUAAACGUUACCCGGGACACCCUUAGCACUUAAUCAAAGUGUUUUCCGUACUUUAGGAUGCGUAUACUUGUUUAAAUAGUAUUAUAUAUACUAAUUAUAUGUAAACAUAUGAUAUCGUAUGUUAAUAGGUCACUAAGUGUGUUCAAGUCUUUACUUGACACCGAGCACCCAACCGGCAUCUUCAUCGGAUCCACUUACAUCAGGUGAGUUCAUACCCCCGAAUUAACCUUUUAAAUGUUUUUACAUGUUUUUAUGGGAGGGAAUACAAGUUAAACAUGUCAGUUAUCAUAUCAAUCACAUGUGAUUGAUAACCCGCAUGCACAAGGAUUUACUACACUGUCAACUAUUUUACCAAGUAUGAUACUAUAAAUGGUUUUCUAAAACGUCUUUACUUGUUCAAAAUCUUUACUUAUAUUGUUUUAUCAAAGUUAUAACCAAAAUGUGUUUAUGAAAGGUUUUCAAAGGAUUUAUAAGGGUUUUCAAACUUGUUUUACAAAAGAAUACCAAGUCGCGAUUUUCUUAACUAUAAAGGUUUUCCCAAAGUUUUCUUCCAUGUUUUCAUACUCCUACUUGGUUAGAUACUACUGCUUCGUUAUACUUCCACUUCAUGAUACACUUAUACUUGAUAACGCUUCUACUUCACUUAUACUUAUUAACGCUUCCACUUCGUGAUACACUUAUACUUAAUAACGCUUCUACUUCACUUAUACUUGAUAACUCUUCUACUUCACUUAUAAUUAUUAACGCUUCCACUUCGUGAUACACUUAUACUUGAUAACGCUUCUACUUCACUUAUACUUGAUAACGCUUCUACUUCACUUAUACUUAUUAAUGCUUCCACUUCGUGAUACACCUAUACUUAUUAACGCUUCUACUUCACGAUACACUUCUACUUCACGAUACACUUCUACUUCACGAUACGCUUCUACUUCACGAUACGUUUCCACUUAGUUAAAUGUAUGCCUGUACAUGUAUAGUUAUAUAAAUAAUGAUUAAAGGACUUAGGAAGGUUAGUUCGCCCUAUUUCCUUUUCUUCGUUGAGAUGUGGUCUGGUGGGAUCAGAUAUCCAUCCGAAGGUCGUUUGAUCAUUAAUUAUAUAUCAUGUAUACAUGUAUAGACAUAUGGGUUGACAUCGAUCGGUUCAGUUAUGAGUCUCUACUGCUAGUCCAACACUUACAUCAGAAUCCACUAUUUGGGAUACAUCUUCAGGACACGACCUUCUCCGUUGUGUAGUUGGUAACCAUAGUCUCUUGUAGGGAGAGCAGACAUUGUGUGUAUAGAUCUAUACGGGAUUGACACCCCCGCACCCUGACUGCUAGCUACAGUCCACGGCCUACCAAGCCAAGGGGUGACAAUGUCACAUCUUUAUUUUGACGCCUGCAGGGCGUCGAGUUCUCUAGUGUCUAUCAAUAUGGUUACGAGUAUCUUGGGGUUACCUUAUAAUUCAUGGCCUUAAGGUAACGACGCUUAACACAAUAUGUUGGGAAUACACACCUGGAAAAUACACACCUAGAAUUACACUGCUUUUAGACCUUGCUAGCUGUAUCUUUCAUUUGAUACUGUCUGGGGUCUGUCUCCACUAUUUUGGACCAUGCUAGCCGUAUCUUUCACUUGAUACUAUCUAGGGUAUGUAUUCACUGUUUUAGACAAUGAUAGCCGUAUCUUUCAUUUGACACUGUCUAGGGUCUGUAUUCGUUGUUUUAGACCGUGCUAGUUGUAUCUUUCAUUUGAUACUGUCUACGGUUUGUAUUCACUGUUUUAGACCUUGCUAGUUGUAUCUUUCAUUUGAUACUAUCUGGGGUCUGUGUCUUCUUUUGUUAGACUGGGUCAGGCGUGUCGUUCAUUCGAUACUCUCUUGGAGUCUAUGAUUCCUUUUGCCUUAGUCAGCAGUCUUCACUGCUGAGGCAUAUGUUAUUUUCCCUGAUAUUCUCCUACUUUCUUUAAAAUCGAAUCCCGUAUGUUGAUAAUGAUAGUGUUUAAGGGAAAACUACUUUUUACAACAUAACUCUGUCCAGUCUUGGUAGAAGACUGCAUUUAAUUAGAAAAUAUAGGAUUUUCUGGAAAGAUCUCUAAUACACUGUAGACUCUAAAACUACUACUACUUAUAAAGUUAUUUGAAUAAAACGACACUAAAUACUUAUGAACUCACCAACAUUUGUAAAAAUGCUGAUACUCGCUUUUAAAUAACUUGUAUUCUCAGGUCAGCAAUAGACAGGUACAUCCUCGGAGCUUUUGAUGAAGACAGUUUAGUACCAAGCUGCACCUAUAUCAUUACUUGUAUUACUUUGAUGUUUCUAUGUAAUGUAAACUAUGUAAAACUAUUACUAUUAAUGCAAUGGUUGUUGUACUUUGAUUACUAUACUACAUAAGUUGUGAUACUUGACAUGACGUCAUCCACCCCAGAACGUUUCCGCCAUUCCGGUUUUGGGGUGUGACAAAUAUGGUGAUAAAUAAAAGGUGUUUUAUUUAUAUUCAUAAGUUCUGAGACCAUAUUGGAUUCGAUUAUUCUUGUGUUUCACUUUGCAUGUUUUGACUUCCAGAACAACUAGGUCGUUUUUCCUGAAUGACUAAGUUAUUCAAACUAUCCACAGUUGAUUAUAUGUUGGAAGUAGAUAUGAAUCAAGACUGUCAUGAAGCUGGAUUGUAGAUGUCCAUGGUAUGGGACAUAGCAAAUAGUGCUACAAAAUUCAUGAGUACUCAUAAGUUCUGAGUAUUGGAUUCAACCCACUCUUAUUGGAAUCACUUCACGGAUUUUAUCAUGAGUGAUCAUGAGACGAUAAUAUCUUAUAUUCUUCAAACCUAGAGAUAUGAGUAAUUACUCUGAGUUGGUUAUACAUUGAUUGCACGAAAACGUAUUGGUAACUCGAUGUUAUAAAACGUUCCUUUAUGUAUGAUUCAACAAGUAGUAGAGCAAGCCAUAUGAUUCGAAUUUUAUCCAUUCCUUUUACCUUCGGGAUAAAAGCGAUAUAUGUGGGCCCCUCAAUGAUUUAGUGAUGACACCCCGAAGUGCUUGGCCAAGCCAAGACUAAUGUGACUUGUUCAAUUAGUCGUUCGUCAUAAAUCAGAAAUCGUGAAAAGACAAAUGGAUAGAGAGAAUGAUUUUAAUCCAUGUCUCAGUCCAUAAGAUAUCUAGAAUGGAGGAAUAUAUGAUCCCUUAUAUGAUGGACGCAUCAUUGAUUUGUUCAAAGUUCGACGGCAAUAACUUUUAAGAGCUACGAUUGCUAGUCGGGUUUUGAAGUCAUACGCAAUAAUAGUUUUAGAAUUAUCCAAGUGGGAGACUGUUGGAUUAGUGUCUAAGUCCAUAACUAUAUUUGGUAUGUACUUGACCCGAUUGGCACGGUCCAUUUGGGUUGCAUGGCAUCAUGCAUUUGGAUAGACUAAAAUGAGAGAAAUAACACUUAAGGUUCAUUAAUAUAUUAUAAGUUCUAAUAUAUUAAUAAGAUUAUUUAAUUAGUAUUGAUCAAGGAUUAAUUUGGAAUUAAUUAAGUGAUCAAAAGGAGACUAAUUAAAUAUAUGGGUUGAUUGUGUAAAUCAUCCAUACUUGUAUAGUGGGCUAAUGCUCCAUGGAUUAUCAAGUUGGGCUAAAACCCAUAGGAUGCUCCACGAAUGCUCCAUGGUGUUUUUUGUACCCAUGGAUCAUGGAAAUGAAAGGCCAUGACAAUUAGGGUUUUACAUGGUGUAACCCUAAUUGUGACACACUAUAUAAGCAUCUUAUUCUUCCAAAACCCGGGCAUUAUGAAGGAAUGGUGAGGGCUAGCCGAUUUCAUGAAGUGUCUCAUUUCUCUCAAGUUAGUCCAAGUGUAUUUGAUAUUAUGUGAACCAUGUGAGGUGUCACACUUGGGGCACUAGGCUCUUGAGCUCCAUGGAAUCAAGCUACAUCAAAAAGGUAUGUAUUCUAUCUAGUUUUGUUAUACUAGUACUUAUGAUUGUAUGCUACUUAGGGUAAUACCUUGGAAUAUUCAUAUUUGCAUGUAUAAUAAAGAAAACAUAGAUCCAAGGUAGUUAGGGUUGCAUGUACACUUAAGUGUGUUAGAAUGCUCAAAACCCAACAGUUCAAUGAUACAUAACCCAAAUCCUAAAGUCCUUUAUGCUGGUGACACAGGCCGAAACCCUGGAAAUAGACCACUUCCCCUAGCACUCCUAGUGGCCAACCAAGGUCAAUGCUUAAACCACUGAAUCCCGACUAUACUGGAGAACUAAACCGUUGAAGCUGACCAGAGACACACGAUACCCCUGAACCGAUCCCAACCAAGAACCGAAACAACAACCGAACACACUGAAACCCACUCAAGAAGAUACAAAACCUUCUGACCCACUAAUGAUUCAUCACAUACAAAUGGCAUAUAACAAUUCUUGAUGAUACAACUCAAACCAUAAUAGAGAAUUAAACCAAAGAUAACACUUACCCAAAUCGAUACAAAAUCCCAAGCAACAUAAAUACCGAUAAUAACCAAAGAGAAGGAAAAAUGCAAUAUAUAACAUACCCGCAAUAUCGCCUGCGGGAGUCCUGGCCUCCCCUGUCUGACACUGCAAUGCUCGGCCCCUCCCUGAUGGGGCUCCUGCCCUACCCUCACGUCCAUCAGUGAUCCUCAAAGUAACCGGAGCAGGUGUACUCACGGCUUCUCCCCUCAUUAUCGGACAGUCGGCCUUCUUGUGUCCCACUUAGUUACAGUGAAAACAUAAUGGGCUUGCCCCCUGAGGACAAUCCCUGCUGACAUGACCAACCCUACCACACUUGUAGCAGCCCAAACCCCUAGAAUGACUAACCCCAUCGUGCAGUUUCCUGCACAUGUUGCAUUGAACCCGGCCCUGCUACCCCUCAAUCAUUGAUCUGAAGUCUUGAAUCUCUUCCCAGGACCCUCCACUGCCUGUACCUGAUCUGGCCCCUCUUUUCCAGGUGCUCCAAAUCAAUCUCCCGCUCUCAGGCUCUAGAAAUCAUAUCAUUCAGGGUCUUGCACCCUAAUAUACUCACAAACUCCAUGAUGUCAUCCCUCAACAUAUCAUGAUACCUUACCUUCUUCAUUUCCUCAUCCACGGAACCAAUAAAGCCAUCUCUCGAAAUUUGGCAGUGAUUUCUGCCACAGUCUCAGUAGUCUGGUCGGGAUCCUGAAACUCUCGCACCAACUAUUGAACCUCAAUCACCGGUGCCAACUCAGCUUUAAACCUACUCGAAAAAUCAUCCAUGUCAUAGCAUCAACAACAUCACCACCCACCUCAUAUCCUACCUCCUCUGCCAAUGCCAGGCCCUGUUAUUCAAAAGCCAGGAAGCAAAUCUGACCAUGGACUCCUUGGGACAGAAACUCGUCCUAAAUGUGUUAGCCACACUUAGUUACAUUGAAAACAUAAUGGGCUUGCCCCCUGAGGACAAUCCCUGCUGACAUGACCAACCCUACCACACUUGUAUCAGCCCAAACCCCUAGAAUGACUAACCCCAUCGUGCAGUUUCCCGUACAUGUUGCACUAACCACGGCCCUGCUACCCCUCAAUCACUGAUCUGAAGUCUUGGAUCUCUUCCCAGGACCCUCCACUGCCUGCACCUGAUCUGGCCCCCUAUUUUCCAGGUGCUCCAAAUCAAUCUCCCGCUCUCGGGCUCUAGAAAUCAUAUCAUUCAGGGUCUUGCACCCUAAUAUACUCACAAACUCCCUGGUGUCAUCCCUCAACAUAUCAUGAUACCUUACCUUCUUCAUUUCCUCAUCCACGGAACCAAUAAAGCCCUCUCUCGGAAUUUGGCAGUGAUUUCUGCCAUAGUCUCAGUAGUCUGGUGGGGAUCCUGAAACUCUCGCACCAACUAUUUCACCUCAAUCACCGGUGCAAACUCAGCUUUAAACCUAGUCGAAAAAUCAUCCAUGUCAUAGGAUCAACAACAUCACCACCCACCUCAUAUCCUACCUCCUCCCACCAAUUCCAUGCCCUGUCAUUCAAAAGGCAGGAAGCACAUCUGAACUUGGACUCCUUGGGACAGAAACUCGUCCUAAAUGUGUUAGCCAUAUUCGCUAACCAUCUUCUACUAGCAAUGGGUCCUUCUACCUAGAGAACGUGGCAGCUCCACAAGCACGAAACUCACGGAAAGAAAGUAUGCGAGCUCUAAUGGUAGUCAUAACCUUAGCAUGGAACGCGCCCAAGUGCUCAUCCAAAAUACCAUGGGUAAUCUCCGAUGAGAUGAACUCCAUCUACUCGCUAAUCGGCUCAGUACCAAAACCUGAUCUGGAACCAGAACCAAAACCACCUUCCUGAGUGCUCAUCACAAAACUGAAAUACAACAUGCAAAUGAUUAGAACAUACCCAAUAAUCCUCAUACCAUAAGCUUCCUAGAUUGUCCGAGCUCUCCCCGAUUUGAGUAUGGAUCAUUUGCUUUCAGUAGUAGGGGCCCAAUACUACCUUCCACGCCUAUCCAUACUUUCCUCAAGAAUAAUCCCGAAUCCUCUAAGUCACCUUCUCAAAAUGAUGCACCAAAUACUAACUAAACAGUGCAACUAACCCACUGAAGCACUUCCUAGGCUCUCCUAGGUUCCCAGCCUCACAUUUCCAUCAGCUGCUGAAAGAUUCUCACUGAUGUCAAACACUGCCUCAUGAAUAUAGUCACAUGCAACAGAUAUCAGAUAAUCCUUCGAGUAAAAGACUCAACCCUAGAACGCUUGGACUCAGACAAGAGCUACGCAAUAGGGUCAAAUCUAUCACUUUGAGAUUAUUUAACAUGUGCAACAUGUGACUUAGUAUAUUCACUUAGUAGUUGGUCCACAUCACUAAGAGUCCCACAAAGCACAGAGUAAGCAGUAUUCAGGCAACGGAAAAUCUAACCAGCAUAUACCUACCCAAGCCAUCCUAUCCAUUGAUCUGAAAAUCAUACUAGCAUGCAAUUCUAAAUGCUCAUACAAUAAGGCAUAUGACGGCAUCUAUCCUAGCAUAAAAUCUUGAACAGAUACUUAGUCGUAAUCUAGCAUACACUUCUGAUAACCAUAUCAUAUAUCAUAAUAAACAUGUAUCGGUAUUCUACGAACCACUUACUUGAGCUCGGACGAGUGCACACAUCAUACACCUUUCUCUGAUUAGAAACCCUUUUCAUAAACAUUUAUUUUAUGAAAAUUUUCACCAAACCCUCAGUUUGAGUCCAGGCACACCCGAGAGUAUGCCCAAAUCCCUAGAACCAAGACUCUGAUACCAACUUGUAACACUUAAAAUAUAAAGGUAAAAGUUUCAUUUUUAAAACAACCAAAACACCCAUUUAUCAUUUACUAAAACACUAAAAGGUAUUUCAUAAUAAAAACAGUUAUCAUAGUACAAUCGCAAAAUCUCAAGGUUGCAGAAAAUAUGGGUGUAUGAGUUGCGAUCAGGCUGGGCCCUUCCCUUUCGAACUGGAAGUACCUGAAACCAUAAACAACAAUUAUAAGCACCAAGUUUAGUGAGUUUCCUAAAUACCACAUACCAUAUGUGACAUCCCCAAAAUCACGGCCAGAAAAGACCGGUUUCAUUUAUGCUUUUAAAAUAAUUUCAGAGUAAAUCCAUUGAUUUAAAAGAGUUGCGGAAUUUGUUCCCAUAACAAAAUAUGAUAAAAUAAAGUUAAUCAAAGCAUUUCAUCAAGAGAUGUAUUUUCAUUAUAUAACAAUAUUCGGGAUGUCAUGUUCAGAUACAGACUAAAAAGUAUAAACGACAUAUUACAAGCCAUACAACAGUUAUAUACAUAUACAGGCUCAUAAACAAAACAACUUGAUGAUUCAUCCAUCUUAUGCCCUCAUGCCACUUCCUGUAAUACAAAUAUGACUGAGUGGGUAAGACUUGGAAGCCUGGUGAGCAUAUAGGGUUUUCAAACCACAAUAAAUAAUUAUAUUUAAUUUCAUCAACCAACAAUAACCCGAUUACCGAUUCCCGUUAUCCUCACUUUACGUCCCUAAAACAACAUCUAUCACAAGGGACCUAAUCUAGGAUUUUCAUCGGGACGGACAUUACUGCAAGGGGUUUCCUUAGCAAUAGAUAUCCUAAAGGCAACCAUGAGGGGGAUAGAGUACACCGGUGAACACAUCGUUCACAACAUCUACAGGUUAUGAACCUGCUAGCGUUCCAUAGGACUGUCUAGAAAGAGUCCGUGGUUAUCAUCCAUACUCCGCUAGAUGACUAGGUCAACAACAACAACAUCGAGGUCUCUCCUCGGUUUAUCACACAUCAACUAUCUACCCAAGUUCAACCCAACAUUUUGUAGAUAACAAUAUACAUAUGCAUACCUAUGCAACUUAAAAACUGAUAAGAUAUUCAUUUAAUACUCGUUCCAAAUAUACAAAUUCAUUCCAAGUAACAGAUAAUAUAUAUCUAUAUACACAUAGCACGUAUUCACUCGGAUAUACUUUACAUCAAUGUGUUAGAAGAAAAGGAAUAUACACUCACUUGAUCAGAAGAUGAUCAGACAGCACUACGGCUUGCAGAGUAGUAUUCUUCGGUAGAUCUGGAAGAUCUUCACACACCGGGCUUCUCGCAGGCAGAGCUUUGGCUCGGAAACUCUUUUCUUCUCAGGAUCUUCGGGCUUCGGUACUCGCUUCGGGUCUCGGGAUGAUACUGGGGCUUCGGGGGUUAAAAUAGGGCUUAGAGAGGGUAUCGGGAGUGGGAGAGUAAGGGAGUAGCAACCUAAAUCGGCUGACCCUUGAUUUCUAUUUAUAGGGUGAGUUUUCUGAGUUCACGUCGUGAGUUUCUAAUGCUCACGUCGUGAGGCUUGAUCGUCACUGCAUGCGUCACUCGUCCACUUGGGUCUACCAGCUCUAGAAGGGUCAAAUCUCUUAAUUCACGUCGUCAACAUAGUGUUCACGUCGUGAACUCUGACACAGUACCGGGUUUCGUGCCCCGAACUUCAGAAAUCCAUAUCUUUCUCAUACGAGCUCCGUUUUCGACGUUCUUUAUAUGCACGCGUAGGUAAAUACAAGAUCUACAACUUUCAUUUACACUUCGUUGGCUAAUUUUGACUUUAUUUUUAUUAUAUAUUUAUUAUAUUAUUUUUAGUAGGCUGGAACAGGAAAACUCCGUUAGAAAAUUAUAACUCCUUCGUCUGAAAUCCGUUUUUGUCUGUCUUUCUGUCGAUGCACAACUAUUGAUGAGAUCUUUAAUUCUCAUUUAGAAAGUUUUGGCUAAAUAUCGCUCGAUCUCAUAUUCGAACUUCGGGCUGUCUACUGCUAAGCUGAAACUUCGAAAAAUCAUAACUUCCUCAUACGAAGUCAGAUUUGGACGUUCUUUUUAUGUACGCUCUCGGUUUAACGUAUUCUACGACUUUCGUUUAGAUGAAUAAGGCUAGAUAUCACUCUAUCUUAAAUUUGUAUUUUACGUCAUUCAGUGUCAUGUCGGUUCUAUUGCGAAACUUCGACAGGUUAUAACUUCUUCGUUAUAACUCGGAUUUCAACAUUCUUUAUAUAUUCGGAAACCUCAUCACGAACACUACCACAUCCUUCAUAGAUAUUGGUAUUAUCUAACAUUUCAUUUUGAUGCUUAUUUUUAUCCUUAAUUCAUUUAAAUCACACAACUAACCACAAAACACAUAAUACUCAAAUAAUACAUCUUUAUUAUUUCAAGACGGGUUACAAAGGUUAACCUAGACUAUUACAUCGCUAUUAAUGACAAGCCCAGAAACACGGGCGUUACAAUUCUCUCCACCUUAGAAUGAUUCCGUCCCCGGAAUCACACAUCAACAAACAAAUGCGGAUAGCGACUCAUCAUGUCACUCUCUGUCUCCCAGGUGAGAUUUGGCCCAUUCGUAUGUUUCCAACAAACAACCACUAACUCGACCAUCUUGCGUCGUAACUUCUUAGUCUUUCGGUCAACGAUUGCCUCUGGUUCUUCAAUUAACCUCUUGUUUUCAUCAAUUCUCAACUCCGAAAGUGGAAUCAUGUCGGGAACUUCUCCCGUGAAAUUUCUCAAAUAACACACAUGAAAAGUGUUAUGAAUUCCAUUCUGUUCUUCAGGUAAUUCGAGCUUGUAAGCUUGGUUCCCAAUCCUUUGAAGAACUUUAAACAGUCCAAUAAACCUUUGACUUAACUUUCCCCUUUUACUAAAUCUUAUAAGUCCCUUCCACGGCGAGACCUUAAGCAAAACCGAAUCUCCAACUUCAAAAGUCAUCGGUCUUCGUUUGUUGUCAGCAUAGCUCUUUUGAUGAUCCUGAGCUGCUAACAUUCUAUCCCAAAUUAUUUUCAACUUUUCAGCAGUUUGAUGGACUAUCUCUGGUCCCAUAAACUGCUUUUCCCCAGCAUCAAGCCAACAAGACGGCGUACGACACUUCUGUCUGUAUAAAGCUUGAUAAGGUGCCAUCUUAAUGCUCGAGUGGAAACUAUUAUUGUAGGAAAACUAUACCAAAGGUAAAUGUUCAUCCCAAUUACCUUGGAAUUCCAGGGUACAUGCUCUCAGCAUAUCUUCAAGUUUUUGUAUCAUUCGUUCGCUCUGGCCAUCAUUCUGUGGAUGGUAAGCUGUACUUAAACACAACUUGGUACCCAAUUCCUCUUGUAGACUUUUCCAAAAUCAUGAGGUGAAACGGCUGUCACGAUCUGACACAAUCGUUAAUGGAACACCGUGAAGCCUCACAAUUUCCUUCACAUAAGAAUUCACAAGCUUAUCCAUAGACCAUUUCUCCUUGGCUGCUAUGAAAUGCGCACUCUUAGUGAAUCAAUCAAUGACCACCCAAAUCAUGUCGUGACCAUUCUUUGUUCUAGGUAGUUUAGUGAAAAAAUCCAUAGCAAUGUCUUCCCAUUUACCCAUGGGCACAAGAAAAGGUUCUAAACUCCCGUAUUGUGUCUUAACUCUCGCACAAGUCACACACUCGGCCACAUACUUUGCAAUGUCGAGCUUCAUCGUCGACCACCAAUAACAGGGUUUUAGGUCCCUAUACAUUUUAGUGCUGCCAUGAUGAAUUGAGUACAUGGUCUUAUGAGCUUCUUCCAUCAGAAGAUCUCUUAUUCCUCCUGACUUAGGUACCCAAAUACGAUCUUGGAAUACCUUCAUUCCAUGACCGUUUGUACCAAACACCAACGUUUUGCCCAAACGUUCCUCCUUUCGGUCAUUCUUCUCAGAAGCUUCUUCUUGAGAUUUCUUUACACUCUCCAUAAUUGUCGAGACAACUUCUAUUCUCAAUGCUCUUGGCCUUUUUCUUUCAAGAUUGACUUUUCGACUGAGAGCAUCAGCAAAAACAUUUGCUUUACUGGGGUGGUAAAGUAUCUCAUAGUCGUAGUCUUUAAGUAAUUAUAGCCAGCGUUGUUUCCUCAUAUUCAAUUCCAUACACCAUAAACGAAUCUUUCCCUGGCGGGUUUACUUUUACAAUCUUCUUAUUACAUAGUAUUUCGGCAUCAAUGGCGCUAAGCCAAUCCAUUCCAAGCACGAUGUCGAAACCGUUAAGUUCGAUAGGCAAUAAUUUCUUGUGAAACUUAUUCCCAUUCAAAUCAAUUAAGAUGUUUUUCAUACGAUGGCUAACAGGUACAAACUUGCCACUAGCAACUUCAACUAAUAAAGCAUUAUCUAGUCUAUCAACAGGCAAAGCUAGUUUUCUACCAAAUUCAUGCGGAAUAAAGGAGUAGUUGGCUCCAGAAUCAAAUAAAAUUUGGGCAGGCAAUUUGUUAACGAGAAAGGUACCUGAAGCGACAUCAACUUCAUAUUUAGCAGCUUCCAGUGUCAUCAGGAAGGCUCUCUCCUUCGGUUUUGGCAGAAUAUUGGGUUUUGUUGCCUCCUUCUUUUUCGGGCAGUCCCUCGACAUGUGUCCCUCCUCACCACAACCAUAGCAAACUUUCUUAGUGAGAGUGAAUUCGUUGGCAUAGUGCCCUGGCUUUCCAUAUUUAAAACAUGUGGCCACUACCUCACAUUUUCCAUGAUGCUUCUUCUUACAUUUGUCGCACCAUUUCGCUUUGACUCCUCCUCCUCUCGAACUAGACUUCGAGAACUUGUUUUUCUUGAUGGACCCUGAAGGCCCAUCGAACUUCCUUUUCUCACCAACAUCUAUCCUUUCCAGACCAUUUUCCUUCUGCUGGGCCUCCACAUUCUUAGUAGCUCGAACAGCUGUUUUCAGAGUGACUUCCAUCUUGACUGUCGGGCCAAAGUCGGCAAGCAGUCCAUUAGCGAACCUCUCAAUCUUGGAGAGUUCUGUUGGCACCAGGUACGGAAAUAACUUCAUUUUCUCAGUGAAUGCAGUGCAUAGUCUUCUAUUCUCAUUCUCCCCUUCUUUAAGUUUUGGAACUCAUUGUUCAGAUCACUCAGAUCUAUCUCUAAACAAUACUGCACCCUUAAUUGUUCCAAGAACUCCUCCCAUGACAUUUUCAGGGCUUCUCCUCGUGGCAUAGUAUCUGCCAACAACUUCCACCAACUCAAGACUCUGGUCUUCAGUUGUCUAACUGCAAAGACAGUCUUCUGUUUGUUGCUACAGUCGCAACUUUCAAAAACCAUCUCCAUUUCGAAGAUCCAAUCCAUAAUCUCAACAGGCUUUGGGCUUCCAGAAAGACAUGGCGCCUUGGCACCCAAGAAAUUCUUAUACAUUCGCCCAUCCUUGUUGCUUCCCCUUUCUGGGUCUUUCCUUCGUUCUCCUUGAGUCCCAACUUGACUCACAAUAUGACUAUUGUUCCCUUCCUCUAGUUGCUCAGGAAGCAAUUCAAGUUCCUCAAUGGGCAUGAUAGGUUCGUCCCUAUUAUCAUGCAACAUCUGUCGCAUUUCUUCCCUUUGUUUGGCUAACAUAGCCCGAAUCAUGGCUUGCACCCCAGCCAUUGUCACUGCCUCAGGUGUUGCUGCUGCAACAGCUACUUGCUCUAUUAUAGGUAUUUGAUUCCUGUUUUCGUCCACGUUUCCAACUCCACUCCUUGUUCUCACCAUUUUUUGAUCUAUGCACCGAAUAAGGUGAAAUUAGAUCAUCAGUCAUGAUAGAUAUUCAAAACAUCCUUAUUACUCUGGAACGUUUACAUGCUAGUUCUAAUAUCAUAACCAUACACUUAGAAUCCUAAACACAUAAGGUCUCCAGAUCCGGUUGGCAACAAACUGUAGAUCCGAACAAAUAAUAUCAUAUAUGGAAAACUUAUAGCAUUUAGCACAUAAAAGCAUUUUAGGCAACUUUCCUAAAAUAAACUAGUGCUCGUGUCUAAAAUAUCACAGACACUCAUCUCACAAUCUUCACUUAGCAUUCUAAGUUUAAGUCUAGAAAUCCUACAAAUUCCUAGUUCGCUUAAACUAAUGCUCUGAUACCAACUGUGACAUCCCCAAAAUCACGGACAGAAAAGACCAGUUUCAUUUAUGCUUUUAAAAUAAUUUCAAAGAAAAUCCAUUGAUUUAAAAGAGUUGCAGAAUUUGUUCCCAAAACAAAAUAUGAUAAAACAAAGUAUAUCAAAGCAUUUCAUCAAGAGAUGCAUUUUCAUUAUAUAACAAUAUUCAGGAUGUCAAGUUCCGAUACAGACCAAAAAGCAUAAACGACAUAUUACAAGCCAUACAACAGUUAUAUACAUAUACAGGCUCAUAAACGAAACAACUUGAUGAUUCAACCAUCUUAUGCCCUCGCGCCACUUCCUGUAAUACAAAUAAGACUGAGUGGGUCAGGCUUGGGAGCCUAGUGAGCAUAUAGGGUUUUCAACCCACAAUAAAUAAUGAUAUUUAAUUUCAUCAACCAACAAUAACCCGAUUACCCAUUCCCGUUAUCCUCACUUUAAGUCCCUAAAACAACUGUUGGAUAAGGUGUCUAAGCCCACAACUAUUAUUGGUAUGUAUUCGACCCAAGAGUAGCAGGGUCCAUUUGGGUUGCAUAUCAUCAGGACAAUUUGUUAGGAUGGACUUUUGAGAGAAGGUUAUUUAUGGUUUAUCAAUAUAUUAUAAGUAAUAAUAUAUUAAUAUGAAAUCAUAUCUUUUAAUUAGUAUUGAUCAAGAAUUAAUUUGGAAUUAAUUUAGUGGUCAAAAGAGACUAAUUAAAUCUAUGGGGACUAAUUACGAUAAUUAGUUAUAUUUAAAUGUGUUGGGCUUAGGAUCCAUGUUGCACCAAGUUUAUGUAUGGAUACAUAAAGAGUUGGGCCACAUGAACCAUGGAUCAUAAAACCGAUGGGUAUGCAUUUGAGUUAUAUCCAUGACCCUAGAAAUCCCACAUAUAAAUAGAUACUUCAUUGCCCAAAAUCGCCACUUGUAUCUUUUUAGAGUUCAUGGUGUCUUUUGUGUGCAUGGAAUUCUCUCUCAAGUUCAUCCUUUGUCCAUGGUGUGUUGUGAUUCCAUUUGAGGCUUCCACACUAUUGGGGCUAAGCUCUUUAAGGCCAAAUACACCAACAAUUCAAGCUCCAUCAAAAGGUAUGUCAUGCUAACUAGUAUAUUAUAUUUUUAUGUUAAAUGCAUGUUGGUUGUAAGAUUAAUACCUUGGAAACCAUUUGCAUGUAUAAUUAGAGAAAACAUAGAUCCAAGGCAUUUAGGGUUGUAUGUGCACCAUAGGAUGUUGUAGUAUACCAAAACCCAACAGUGGUAUCAGAGCCAUGAGUUGUUUUCAAUUAUACUUGAUGCAAGUUGCUGGAAAAAAACUGAAAAAAAAAAUCAAAUUUUUUGUUGUCGGGAGAGCAGAAUCGACGAGUCCAUGAACAAAUGCAUCCAACUCGUCGAGUUGGUUCAUGCACUCGACGAGUUGGACCCCCUGACAACUUAUCUUCGAGUUUUUUGGCCUAUUUUGGAUUAGAAUCAUUACUGCAAAGUGUUUUUGUUCAUAAAAUUUGUUUUUUGAUACUAUGGUAAUGUUUAUUCUCAUCCAAAUAAAGGAUAAUAAUCAAAGUUUCAAGUUUUAUACAUGUUUAUAUGAUGCUUGAAAAAUGUUGAUUAUGAAUGUUCAUGUUUAUGAGUUUGUUUAGAUUAAUAGGAAAAAUUAUGAGAUAGUUGUUUUCAAUCCAAAUUAAUCUAGAAGUUGUUCAUAAUAUGUGUUUUUGUAACUUGUCCUCAAGUUACAUGAAAAGUCACAUUUAUGAAUUUUAAAACUCAUAAAAUUUCCAUAAGUUACGAAAAAAUGAAGAGUCAUAUUUUUAAUGCUUUAAAGUCUUCCAUAACUUGUCUACAAGUUAUGGAACUUGAAGGAUUUUUUUCCAUUAAACCACUUUAAAAUUCAUAAGUUAUGGAAACCAUAAGUUUUUGAAUUGUUCAAAAUUUGUCCUCAAGUUUUGGAAUUUGUAAAGUCAAAUCCCAUAUACACUUUAACUCCAAACCCAAGAAUUUUAAAAGUUAAAGUUCAAAAUUUAUGGACUUCAUUAAAUUAAUUAAUGUGUCUAAUUAAAAGAGUUAAUAAUUCCAUAAAGACAUGGUUUAAGUUUAAUUAAAUUAAGAGUAUAGUUUAAUUAAUAGAUUAAAUCACCAAGUAUUUUAAAUGUUUAAAAUACACCCUUAUACUAUUAUAAUAUUAAUAGUUAAUACUUAUAUAUAUGUAUAAGAACAAAGUCAGUCUUACCGUUAGUAGGCCUCAUUCACGAAGCCGGUCUAUAAGGGGGGUAUAAGGUUACUGCCUAUAAAAUGGCAAUUUAAUGGGUGUCCACUCUCACCCACCGCUUCCUUGACCGGUGGAGGGUCGUUAGCCGAACGGGUAGGACAAGGACUAUAAUUCUCCCUUCAUUAAAAGUAUUAAUGAUAAAUACUAAGUAACUAAACCUUUUAUAAAUACCCAAUCUUAGUUACUUAGGAAAAUGUGAAUAAGGUGCUAAUCCAUGAAAUUACACUUUGCACUUUGUUUAAGUCGGUUAGUGGAGCGUGUGUGGUUAACCGGCACACUAACUCGUAUUUAACAAGGUAGGCAAAGGGUAACUUAAUGUUUAUCAUAGUAUCGAUGGAGCGUGUGUGGUUAACCGGCACAUCGAUUGAGGGGUAAACACUUAAGGGUACCAAGUAAUUUGCAUGGUUACUUCACACCUUGUUUUGUGAUCCUCGGCAUCCCAGUCACAAAACCUGAAGGGCACACUCGAGAUUGAAACAUGCCAUUGAACAGUUCAAUGAAUCUCAAAGAUCUAGGAGUUUCAAAACCAAUUAAAACCUAAUAAUACAUUUCGUUUAUCUUGGUGGAAAUUGGUGAAUCGUCAUUCACCUACCUUCAAAUAUUUUAUAGCUUGGAUUACGGCAUACCUCUUCUAAGUUAUAAAAUAGUUUGUUGGGUCCUAGCCUUAAUAUUUCAUAUUGGGUGUCAUAUUAAGGACUUUAAAUCAACUAUCUUGAAUAUCUCCCAAAAGAUGUCUGGUUUAGACACCUAUGAUCUUCCCAAAUCUCUUGAAACAAGCUUUCCUAAAGGAAGAUGAUGUCCCAUGGAAAUCAUACUUCUUUCACCCCCUCCAAUUAUUCUCCCUAACCCACAAGUUCAAGGUCACUCAAGCCCUAUUGGCAAGCAAGAUCUAUGUGUGAUCACAUCUUGGAGAUGAAGUCACAUAUUGACAAGCCGAGAGAGUUGGGUGUCAAAGUCUUGAGAAAGUUGGAUGUUCAAUCACUUUCUAAGUCACAUAGUGAGUUCUUUUGGGACUACUAUGUGACAGACCAUGACUUGACCCUUAAUGAUCUUACCUAUUUGCUUGGUGCUGCGGAAUCAAAAAUGAUUUGAGGACUAGUAAAGCGAAUUUGAUUAGAAGAUCAACUUCCCAAACCUUCUAUUGCCAAAGGAUAGGGCAUUGGUUGCGAAGCUGCCUAAUUUACCUGAACAAUCAUAAGGUUAGUAAAGUCAAACAGUUUGACUCUACUUCGGGUAAAGUGUGCUAUCUAACUCUAUUAAGUUCCUAUUUGAGAUUCUUAUACAUGGUGUGACCAGAUCAUAUUUUGAUGUUUUGUAGAAUCGAAGAGAGGAAGCUUAAAGGAAGUAUAUGUUGAUUCUAAUCGCGAAGAUGGAUUUCGAUCGUAUGGUUCGGUGAUCAGAAUUGUGAGUUGUUGCUUAAGAGUUAUUAUAUAUUGCUUAGGAAUAGAUAACAAAAUUUUUUUCAUAUGCAUUUGCAUUGUAAGGAUAAGUUUUUCUGCAAGUUUUAAAUAAAAGAUAAGGUUUUAUUUUAUUUAUUUUAAAUAUCCUUACAGUGGCAUUUGUGAAAAAUGGUUGUUUAUAUGAUUCCAUUGAUAGCAAUAUUGGAAAAUGGAUUUGAUUCUUUCGGAUGUGGUAAUGUCAUAAUUUACCGAAUAAGGAAAGAUUCUCAUCACCCAAGUUUCAAUUGGACCGAAACUUGGAAUCAUACAAGUUGUAUGAUGAAUGAGAAUUUUCAUCAUUGGAAAAUUAAGUCAAGUGAAAGGACUAAGGGAUUGAGUACACAUUCGUGUGCAUUGGUCAAGUCCACCAUAAAGAUCGAUAAGACUAUUCGUCAUGAUUUACUAAAGUUUAGUAGGUUAUACUUAAAAGUUUAAGUAUAAUUCUGAAACAUUGGAAAAUAUUCGAUGUGUGGCAGAACGAAUAAGAAGAAUAAAAUUAGGCAGAAAGAUAAAAGUUUCUCAAAUCUGAAAAAAUAGGAGAGUACUUUAGUAUCACGUUUUAUGAUCAUCUUAAUGAUUAAUAUACCAUAUCACAAAUGAUCCUCUAAGUAUAUCUUAGUGCUUUCUUAU
rnacentral:lncRNA from 1 species